CUGGGCCAGACCCAAAAUAAAGAGCGGUGCCCAGCAGCCUUUGAGAAGUGAGAACUGGUCGUUCGGUGGCAUCUGGUUGAAAGCAGGCUGUAGAGAGCUGUGCAGGUAGAUGUAAGAGACUUCUCAACGGAUGGGCUCUGCAAGAGCGUGUGACUGACGGAAUAACCCUGGGAAACUGAUAAGCUUUUCUCAAUGAAAAGGAUCUGGUGGAGUAACGCCUGGAAAUUGAGAGGGUUGGGCC